rnacentral:rRNA from 1 species
GACGAACGCUGGCGGCGUGCCUAAUACAUGCAAGUAGAACGCGGUUGCGAACGGGUGAGUAACGCGUAGGUAACUGCCUCAUAGCGGGGGAUAACUAUUGGAAACGAUAGCUAAUACCGCAUACUGUGAGAUGGACCUGCGUUGUAUUAGCUAGUUGGUGAGGUAAAUGCUCACCAAGGCGAAGAUACAUAGCCGGGCUGAGAGGGUGGUCGGCCCACACUGGAACGGGACACGGGCCAGACCCCUACCGGAGGGCAGAGGAGGGAAAUUUCGGCAAUGGAGGGAAGGCUGACCGAGGAACUCCGGGGGAGUGAAGAAGGUUUUUGGAUCGUAAAGCUCUGUUGUGAGAGAAGCGGUACCGAACCAGAAAGGGACGGCUAACUACGUGCCAGCAGCCGCGGUAAUAC